rnacentral:rRNA from 1 species
UACGUAGGGUGCGAGCGUUGUCCGGAAUUAUUGGGCGUAAAGAGCUCGUAGGCGGUUCGUCGAGUCGAAUGUGAAAACCCGGGGCUCAACUCCGGGCCUGCAUUCGAUACGGGCGGACUAGAGUUCGGUAGGGGAGACUGGAAUUCCUGGUGUAGCGGUGAAAUUCGUAGAUAUCAGGAGGAACACCAGUGGCGAAGGCGGCUCCUGGACACCAACUGACGCUGAGACGCGAAAGCGUGGGGAGCAAACAGG